AAGCCUUUACAGUGUUUCUUACCCUCGUAGGGAGGUCCCUCCCGGGGUCCCAGUCCCCCCUCCAGCCCCACGGGGUAGCUGUGGGUGGGCCGUGGCUCUUCCCAGAAGGAAGCAGGCAGCUGUCUUUUCCUCAUGGGCACCUGGCCAGGCCUGGCAGCUCCUGGAUCCGGCCCAUGGAGGGUCCGCUCCCUAGAGAGGCUUUCCUCCCGGUCCAGGUUCCCCAAUGCCUUCUCCUUGCAGCCCCCACCCCCGCCGGGGCUGGAACCGUGGCCAGAUUCGAGGGGCAGCAACCUCCCGGGCCGGUCCUCGGGCCCCCUUUUCAGGUGAGGUUCAGCCCCUCUGCCGGGGAGGCCCCGCGGGAGCCGGGAAUACUUCUGGGAGAAGCGUUUGAGCUGCUUCUGCAGGUACUUGCGGUGGUCCACCGAGCGGCGGCAGGGCGCGGACUUGUCCAGGGCCGCCUUGAUGUCGCUGGACGCCAGGUUCACGAAGUUUAGCAGCAUCUUCACGUCACUGUCGGAUGCCAUCACCAGAGCGCUGCUGCACCGGGCUUUCCAUGAAGAGGCUGGGUUCUCCAGGCAGCUGGCAGCUCCAGGGAAGAGCACAGAGCCAACCUGGCGAGGGACACAGCAGCCAUUGGUGUCUCUCUGAGCAUCCACACUCCACCCUCCCCAAAGGCUACAUGGCUACAGACAGGAGUGGUCCCCACCUCAGCCCCCCUCAGGCCUAGACAGAAUCCCUGGGUCAUGGGAUAUCCAUUUAGGCUGCUAAGCAUCUCCCAGAGCCUAUGGGAUGCAAUGGGAAGAAACCCAUUUCAUCUUCAACAGGGCUCCGCACCUGCAGGUGAGGCUGAGACAGGUCAGGCAACUUGCCCAAGGCCACUUGGCCCUACCAAGUGGCAUUGCUGGGGCGGGAGCCCACCAGCAAUGGUGCGUGGCUCCCCACACACCACGCUGCCCGCAGGGCACGACUUGCCAGCAAGGUUUUCAUUUUCUGAGCCUAGGCAGCCGCUCUACUUUAAGGCAAGGCCAAGCCCCCUGGUUGCCUGGCGGUGCCCUCCUCCUCCCACUCCCGCCCCCAAGUCCUGCUAGCAGCUGCCCCCCCACCUCGGUCCCCACGCUCCACCCACAGGUCUCACGCAGGACAGGCAGGACCCCUGUCUGGCACUCAAGCCGAGGCCUGCCUGGCGGGCUGAUCGCAGGCUGUGGGCAGCAGGGGCUCCCCCGUAGAAGCAUCUGCAGCAAUUUCAUGCCUCCUCGGCCACCACCCCGCAGCCCCCCGCCCCUCCCCCAGGCCCCGGCCAGCCCCACGCCCCCCACCUAGUGGGGCCUGAGCCGCCAGGGCCUCCACACUGACCAAGAGUGCGGGGGCCCGGGCCCCCGCCAAGGUGGCCCGGCAGAGGUUUCCCCCACGCCGCAGACCUGGGCCAGGCCUGGCGCGGCCGGCGAGCUCCGUGGUCCGGCUGGAGGCAGUUGUGCCGCCCUCGAGUGGGCUGAAUGGAGGACGACGGGUCCCCGGAGCUGGGGGGCCCUCAGGCCAAUCAGGAGCGCCUCUCCAGAUACAAAGCAUCCCAAGCAGGCGGCGGCCCCGUUCCCACAUUCUUUGCCGUCACAAAUUGUCACCAUGGGGACCAUCACAAAAAAGACAGCUCCCAAAUGCAAUCAUUUCCCGGUAAAUUUCUACCCUUCAGCCCACUCUCCCUUCUCGGCCUCCACGCUCCUCCUCCCCUUGACCUCAGUUCCCUGGUUUCUCGAGGGGGCGGGGUGUGUUGUGUGCGUGCGCGUAUGUGUGUGUGUGUGUGUGUGUGUGUGUGUGUGUAUUUAAAAAGUCCAAGAUUGAGGAGGGCUUGGACCCAGAAGAGAUGGGCUUGCAAACCUCCCCCCAGGACUCCGAGCCCGCACCGGCCAUGCUCCAGUGCAGACAGACAAUCGGACGGGGUCCCGGAGCUUCGUGGGACUCGAGUCUGCGUCUUUAAAAAUCUCCAGAGCUCUUAAUAGGGGCUGUUCUUCCACCAAAUAAAGGAGAGAGAUGGUCAUUGGACACCCGUUGUUCGCUUCCAUCCCCGUUGGUCACUUCCUUCCCCAUGCAGACAUCACCAACAGAUCACAACACCCUCUCCUGCUGACCCCUGCAGCGGCUCUGCACCUUUCAGCAGCCUCCACUAAACAAAUAAGGUAUCAUGCCCUCCACCUGUUGCACCCCGACUUCUUUCUGGAAAACGCCUACUCAUCCAUCAAGACACAGCCCAAGUAUCACCCCCUCCAGGAAGUCUCCCAGUACUUGCCAUUCGCAGUUGAUUAACUCCUUGGAGCUCCCACAGCACCCACUUGGGCUUUUCUCUGGGUUUCUAUUACUCUAUACUUGCAUCUCCUUCUCUUCCCCUCAGGCUGGGGAAAUUACUUCCUGCAUGCUAAGUUGCUUCAGUAGUGUCUGACUCUUUGUGACCCUAUGGACUAUAGCCUGCCAGGCUCCUUUGUGCAUGAGAUUCUCCGGGCAAAAAUACUGGAGUGGGUUGUCAUGCACUGCUUCAGGGGAUCUUCCUGACCCAGGGAUCAAACCUGUGUCUCUUACAUCUCCUGCAUUGGCAGGUGGGUUCUUACCCACUAGCGCCACCUGGGACUUCCCUAAUUGCUUCCUAGGUGGCCCAAAGGAGAUCAUGUGCCCUUAGUCCAUCCAGGGGCCUCAGGCCCCCUUGAGAAGCAGGGUAAACAAAGAGCGAGUUAAGCUGUCCCAGCCCCUCCCAGACUACAACGUGUUUCUAGGCAUUUUAGGUAGAAGGAGGAGGUUGUCACUACAGGAAGGGAACUUGACAAUUAGAAACACAGCCAACGCCCAGAUGCCCAUGGACAGGCAGGGGUGUAUUUUUUUUAGUAAAAUCUCAUGUCUGUAGCGUCAGGCAAAAUGGCAACAAGAAGGCUUUUUCAUGACUGCACGAGUCUUAAGAUGCUUCCUGAUCUUUCGUUUUACAGAUGGGGAGGCUCAGAGGUGGGAGGGGCCUGACCAGGUCACCAGGCAGUGCCCUUCCUCCCGGUGCUGGGGAUGGGCUUGGCUCUGAGCUUGAAACUGGCACGUCGUGGCCCACAGUGGCUUACUAACAGCAGCUCAAACUACAGAGCAGCUAGAGGGAACCCUGGCACUUAACACUGAGGGUGGAGGGUGGGCAGCUUUGAGUGUCAGCUGGUCACCUUGCAGUCCAGACAGGUCCAACACCCUAUGACCCCCUUGUUGGCCUGGGCAGCGGGAGAUGGUGCCCCAAGGCGCCCCCUGCUGGAGGAGCAGUUAAAGGACUCGGCCCCCAGAGCCGGCAGGACACAGGCUUGCCACUCUCAUCGGCUUCCAGCCCCGCCUGCGUGGAUUCCAAGUUCACUGUGUGCGAGUGGGUGUAAGAGAUUAUCCUGGAAGAGACUUCACUGGUCUCCGCGACAGAGUAGGGCUCUCCAGGAGGGUGUCAGCACCCAAGUGGGGAGAAGUAAAGCUUAUACCAUGAGGAAGGUGCAGCAGCAGCAGUCCUGGCCGGAGAGGACAGCCGGACCUUGGGUCUCCUUGGGUCGUCUCCGAUUUGGUGAGAAGCCUGGUCUCCCUGGCUCUAGCAGGAAGGAUGUCACCAUGAGUGAAGAUGCAGGAGAAAGGAAGGCAGUGCUGGUCUGCUUCUGGACGGAUCAUUCAUGAUACGCAUGGUCCAAAGGGUUACAAACCAGGCAGCUUUUCCUGCUCCAGCUUUCGAAGAGAAGCAGACACGACUUAGCGACUGAGCACACAUAUAAAAGUCCAUCUUGGCCCAUAUGUUCAUCUCACUCCAGGAGAUUCUCUGGAAUGGAGAAAGAACCCAAGUGGCAAUUGUUUGUGGUGAAAAGCAGCAGAAGAGAAGUCCCGUCAGCUGGAAAGCGUCGGAGCCUCAGCGAGCGGCCCCCUCCCGCAGCUGCGGCGCCUCUUAUUAACACAGACGUAAUGACAUUAGGCCGCCUGAUUAAGUCAGCAGCCCUGGGCCCUGCCACCCCUCAUCCCAGAGUUACAGCCUCAUUUUUCAAUUAUAUUUUAAUUUGAACAUCUACAGAGAACGCCUGGCGAACACAGGAGUCCCGGAGGAGAGCUGGGCAUGGUUCAGCCUGUCUUUCCCUCCCCCCUGGAGUGGACGAAGCACAUUUUGCAGGUCUGGGAUCUGGGUCCUCUUCCCAGAUCCUGAACCUCAGACUUGAGAAUUCUUCCAGCCCCAUCUGAGUGCCAUCUGUUGUCCUCAGUCAUGACACAGGAAAUGUUCAAGCCAAGAGGAUUCCUCAGAGAUCAAAAUCAGCCUUUUCACUGACAAGUGGGGAAAUGAAGUUCCCAAAGGGCCUGGACUUGCUUGGAGCCCAGCCAGACCCAACUCAAAGACUCUAGAUUUCUAAACCAGAAUCCAAAGAAGCAAACACCUCAGAUGGAUGUUGGGCCCUCUGUAGAGCCAUCUUGCUGCCGUGAUAAAUGGAAGGGCCUCUGCCACCGAAGGGUGCACAGACUGGGGUCCAAGGGCUGGUGCUGGUCAAGCCCCUUAUGGCCUCCUGGGUACCUGUCUGCAGUUCCCAGGGCCGCCACUAGGUGGCCCCAGGCAUCGCCAACCAGCGCUUCAGGGUCCAGUCGGUUUCCACCCACUGGGACUGGAAGAGUGCAGAAUGCUCCUGCUGGUCUCCAUCCUCCCCUCUCCUUGUAAAUUGAAUCCGCCGAACACUGAGAGUUCAGGUUCUAAAUUUUCAGCAGGUGCAGAAGCACAAGGACUGGAGGGAGAGGCCUGCUCAGGUGUCCUGAGCAUGUCUCCUCUUAUUUCCGAGUCUCCCUUACGCUUCCUUACUCACCUUACACACCUGUGAACAGGUGUGUUAAUAGCCUCCUGCCUCACAGAGUUGUUAUAACAAUACUGGGUGUGGAGCCCCGUGGGAAUGGCAGCCCAAAAGUUCCAAAUGCCAGACCAGAGUCACAUCCUCUGGGAGACUGUUGACAAGCACAGCCUGGGAGCCAGAGUCAGAAGCAAAAGGUCUAGAGCAGGCAGAUCCAUCGGUGAGGGUCCUCCCGGCCAGCAGGCAAGCAGGCGGAGGGGAGUACGUCUCGACACAGAAUGCUCACGAGGGCGGGGUCCUGACCCUCAGCACUGGCCCAGAGCUCUCCCCUUGCACCAGAGCCGCCUUCCUCCAGGGCAAAAGAAAGGUCACCAAGACACCUUGCAGCACCCUGCACUCAUUCUGGUGGGAGGCAGACCAUGCAAACGCUUGCAGCCCUGCCUGGGAAGUGAUGGCCUCGCAGUGGGACAGGAACCUGCGGGGGUGCUGUGAUCCACUGUGAGGCGUUGGGCAAGGCAACGGCUUCCAACCACUUCCAGAAGCCCGGUGCUUGUCCAUGAUGCACUCAACAAAUGAAAGCAGACUUCCCAUACAAACAUCACUCUCAUGCAAGGCAGGCUUUCCAGAAUGUUCUGGGAGUAGAUGUAGCAUGACCGUGCAGAGAGUUCAGCCGCAAAACCUCAGGCCUGUGUCCUGCUGAGAUGCCUUGGGGUAGUGGAUAGAUGGGGAGUCUUUGUGCUUUGAACAUUACCCUUACCAGAGAGUGGUUUGGGGUUGAUGUUUGGUGGAGGGAACUCUCGAGCUGGGUCUUCGAGGAGGUGAAAGGAUGCCCAGGAAGUGAGAGCACGUGUGAAAGGGACAGAAGACUGCCAAGGCCUGAUGAGGCCACACACAUCUGAUAAGGCUGGAGAGACGGGAGCAGAAGGUGGGCAAUGGUGGGGUAGUCUCACGGGGGCUGGACCUGGAAGGGCUCCUAAGCCAGGCUGAGCUGUUCAGAUUUUGCACAGAAAUUCACAAGUACCUCUGAAGGCUUCUCACCUCCUUGAGGGCAUAGACUGGGGGACAGGGAGACCAGAUGGCAGGAGCAGCAGGGGGACAGAGCAGCGGAAGUGACAGCAGAGGUGGGAGGCAGGGCCAGACACUGGAGAUGCUUAGGUCGCGGGAUCUACCGGACAUGGGUCCACAGCAGCAACGGACAGGCUGAGGACUGCAGAAAAACCAGAGUGGCCAGAGGGAAGGAGGAGGGGGCAGGGGACAGGGUGCCCGGCAGCUGAUGGUGUCUGGGUGUGAGAGGCCCUGAGAGCUUGUACCUGUGUGAGCCUGGCUUCAGGACGGCCCCUUAGGAAGAUGGAUCUGGAGCAGAGGGAGCAGGAAGGAUUGGCAAGAGGACCCAGAGAAAGGGUAGGGAAUCAAUGUUCAGGGAAAAUUCCCUCUGCAGUGGCACACAGAGCAGAUGGACAAGGAUGUGGAGGUGGGUACACAGCCAGGACUGCAGGGGACACAGGUGGAAUUCCAAGGGAGAGAAAGUAAGGGCAGACUCACAGAAACUUCCAGGGCCCCAGAGGGGUCUGCAGAGGAGUCACUCAAGAAUAACUGGGAACAACUCACUGUGUGAUCAUAUGCAAAUCCCUUCUCACCUCUCAGCCUUGUUUUCCUUAUCUAUGUAGUAAAUAAAAGGGUGGAUGAGGUAAGGUCCUGAGAGUGUGGACCUUCCUGAGUUGUCUAACUAGAGUAUAUUCCUACUUCUUAAGGAAAACAUCAGCUAGCAAGAUUGAUGGGGAUGUCUACACAGCAUAUAGGCCACUUCUGGACAUGCCCUCUGAACAGUCAUAGAAGUCUAUUUUGUGUAAGUCCAGCCAGGGCUGCUGUGUACAGUUGCACAGGCUAGGCACUGCACAACUCCAGGCACUGCCAUCUCUUUAGACUAGAGCAUGAGGGAGGCAUGCAAAGCAGCCACUCUGCUGAGAGCAUCCUGGCUGUUCCAUGGACAGGCCCCACAUAGAGCAGCUGCAGUGCCUACCCCUGGGAGCCUGGAAACUAUUAAAGUGGUUGGAGAGACUGGGAAAGGCCAUGUAUCAGGCAAGUGAGGACCUGAGUUCAAGGAUGACCUGCUGUGUCACAUGGCAGGCCUUCCCCCUUCUGUCUGUUUCUCUGUAAAGUACCUGGGACAAGUGGGUCUUCAAGGCCUCGUCCAGCUUGUGUUCCACACUUCUCUGUGGAGCUUGCAGCAGCCCCCACAUGGCUGAUGCCGAGGUCAUGACUCCUGCCAGGGUCCAUGACAGACUCCAGCACUGAGGGGCCACGUGGCCUCUCCCGGCCCCUCCCUGCUACUCCUGGAAGCUGAGACUUUUCCAUGGGCCUGCAUGCUGCAGAGCAGACCCUAUGCUGGGCCCAGUCCAACCCACAUGCUCCCAGGAGCCCUGGGAACUCACUUCCAGCCUCAGUGGCUUCCUCCUGGCUGUGGCCAUGAACCAGGGCUUCGUGACUGCCUUGGCUGCCAGGCCAGCAUUAAAUGUCCAGACUAAGCAGUUGAUCAAGAAUCACAUGACAGCUGGGCAGUUCUUGUUUAAACCAUCAGUAUCGCCUUUACACCCCAUGAGUAAAACCUCUGGAUGUGCUGCUGAGAAAAGCACACAGGGCCUUCAUCUUGGGGACCCUCUAGCCUAUGGAUGGGGUUGGUGAGAUUCACUGCUUCGCAGAAAUCCAGCCUCAUUACAGAGCACCACUUAACAUAAUGCAUAGCACGCACGCAUACUUUACAGUCCGUAGAGCCCUUUCCACACUCAUUAAGUCACUCGACAAACACCAAGGCCCUUUCUGGGUUAGCUCACAGGGGCCAUGGACAUGAAUCCGCAUUGCUCAAAAUCAUUCACAGAGCACCUGCCUCAGAGCUCAUUAGAGUCUCAUGAACAAUGAGCUUGGAAUUAUUUUCAGCCCCAUUUUGCAGAGAUGGAAACUGAGGACAGGAAGACUGAGGGACUUAGCCAAGUGCUUGUGGCUAGUCUUGAACACAGGCAGCAAACUCAAACCCUCGGGUUCUUUGUUCCACCCCAGGUGCUGGGACCUGGGUCCAGCACCUUCCCUUUCUGGGCCUCAGUUUCCUGGCCUGUCCAGUGACAGGGACCCUGUAGAGGUAACACAGCUGUGAUGUCACAGAUCCUUUGAUCCUAUAUCUGCCAUGGGUUUGACAAGCAAAAGAGUUAGCUUCCAAGAUCAAGUUGGCAGACAGAAAGCUCUAAAUCAGAACAGACUCUGCCUGGCAAGCCAACCAGGCCAGCAGGUGUUCAGGCCAAGACUGAAACAUGCACAACUCACUUUAUAAACUAUAAACAUCCCGCAAUCCGAGUUCCAGCUGUCUACUACCCUGCCUGUGAGCUGACGUCUGCCGGCUCUGACCCAAGUUUCAGCCCCGAAACUGGCGUUUCAUUUCUCCCCAAAGUGUCUCACAUUGUAAAUCAGAUGCUGGGCUAUGGAGGGGAGCGGGGAGACUGUCAGAGGCCAGACCUGGCCACGCUGUGCACAGGGCGGAAGUGGCAGAACCCCCAGAGGGUGAAGGAGAAACAGCGGGCCUGCUCGCAGCGAUGGAGCUCGAGGCUCCUGUGCACCUGGAAUCUGCCCAUGAGGCCUCAGUGCUAGGCACCAGGUUGAGAGCAGUGCGUGAAGUUAGAAGCAGCUCGCUGUUAAACCAUCAUAGAAAGGAAAAUAUUUUUUUAAAAGGAAAAGGGACUUCCCUGGUGGUCCAGUGUCUAAGAAGCUGCAGUCCCAAUGCAGGGGACCCAGGAUGGAUUCCUGGUCAGGGAACUAGACCCCACAAGCUGCAACGAAAGAUCACGCUUGCCUCAACUAAGACCCAUGCGUGCGUGCUAAGUUGCUGCAGUCGUGUCUGACUCUUUGCGACUCUAUGGACUGUAGCCCACCAGGCUCCUCUCUCCAUGGGAUG